rnacentral:rRNA from 1 species
UUCGCAAUGCCCGAAAGGGUGACGAUGCGACGCCGCGUGAGCGAAGAAGGCCCUAGGGUUGUAAAGCUCUGUCGAGGGUUAUGAAAUAUAGAUGGGUUAAUACCCCAUUUAUUUGACAAAAGCCCAAAAGGAAGCCACGGCUAACUCUGUGCCAGCAGCCGCGGUAAUACAGAGGUGGCGAGCGUUGUUCGGUAUUAUUGGGCGUAGAGAGCACGUAGGUGGUUUUGUAAGUCAGGUGUGAAAGCCUUCUGUUCAAAGGAAGAACGGCAUCUGAAACUGCAGAUCUUGAGUGUAGGAGGGGAGAGUGGAACUUCUGGUGGAGCGGUGAAAUGCGUAGAUAUCAGAAGGAACGUCGGCGGCGAAAGCGACUCUCUGGCCUAUUACUGACACUGAGGUGCGAAAGUUAGGGGAGCAAACGGGAUUAGAUACCCCGGUAGUCCUAACCGUAAACGAUGGGCACUAAGUAGAGGGGUUUU